AUGUCGACCUCCACCGCUGUAGUUUCCUCCGGCCUCAACAACAAUGUCUCAGAACCUCUUACCAGAUCGAACUAUGUUCUCUGGCGUGCUCAAGCCCGCUCCCAGAUCAUGGGGGCCGGUCUCUUUGGAUACCUUGACAAAACCAUCGCCGAACCAGAAAAAACCCUAGUCAGCAAAACCUCCGAGGGCAAAGAUCAGGUCAUUCCUAACCCUGCUUAUGCUCCUUGGUUGAUCCAGGAUCAACAAAUCAUCGCCUAUCUACUCCGCAAUCUCUCCAAGGAGGUGCUAGUUCAGGUUGCCUCCCUAGAUACAUCUCAUGCAAUCUGGACAGCCCUUGCCAAUAUGUUUUCUGCCCAGUCCCGCUCCAAAGCAAACCACGUUCGCAUCUCUCUCACCACCACCCAGAAAGGAACCCAAUCUGCCGCCACAUACUUUGGUCACAUGCGAGGUCUUGCCGAUGAACUAGCUGCAGCAGGCAAACCUAUCACAGAAAAUGAGCUCGUCUCUCACAUCAUCUCUGGCCUGGACAUGGAUUACCAACCAAUCAUCUCUGCCCUUGAUGUUCGCCCUGAUGAUGUUUCUGUAGAUGAACUCUUCGGCAUGGUUGCUACCUUCGAUCUGUUGGAAAUAUGCCCUAGAGGCAAUAAUAAAAUGGUUAUUAUUGUAUUUCCUUGUUCAUGA
rnacentral:rRNA from 1 species